GAUUUAUUUAAUGGCUGCGGUAUCUUGACCGUACAAAGGUAGCAUAAUCAUUAGUUUAUUAAUUGUGGACUUGUAUGAAUGGUUGGACGAAAUAUUAACUGUCUCAUUAUUAUUAUUAGAAUUUAAAUUUUUAGUUAAAAUGCUUAAAUUUUUUUAUUGGACGAGAAGACCCUAUAGAUCUUUAUUAUAUUUAUUAAUUAAUUAUUUGGUUUAUUAUUUAUUUAUUUAUUAUUUAUUAUUUGGUUGGGGUGACAUUGAGAUAUAAAAAACUCUUUUUUAUUAUUAUCAUUUAUUUAUGUUUUAUUGACCUUUUAUUAUUGUUAUAAGAUAUAGAUACCUUAGGGAUAACAGCGUAAUUCUUUUUGAAAGUUCUUAUUUACGGAAGAGAUUGCGACCUCGAUGUUGGAUUAAGAUUAAUAGUUGGUGUAGAAGCUACAUUAUUAGGUCUGUUCGACCUUUAAAUUCUUACAUGAUCUGAGUUCAAA
rnacentral:rRNA from 1 species